GACGAACGCUGGCGGCGUGCUUAACACAUGCAAGUCGAACGAAGUGGCGAACGGGUGAGUAAUACGUGGGUAACCUGCCCUCCUUUUUGGGAUAAGCCUUGGAAACGGGGUCUAAUACCGAAUAAAGUGGGAUGGGCUCGCGGCCUAUCAGCUUGUUGGUGGGGUGAUGGCCUACCAAGGCGGUGACGGGUAGCCGGCCUGUGAGGGGGAUAGGCCCCAGUGGGACUUGGAUACCGCACAGACGCCUACGGGAGGGCGCCGUGGGUGAUAUUGCACAAUGGGCGAAAGCCUGGUGCAGCGACGGCGCGUGGGGGAUGAAGGCUUUCGGGUUGUAAAACUCUUUCGCUAUCGAAAGUGUAGGUGGAGAAGAAGAGCCGGCUAACUACGUGCCAGCCGCCGCGGUAAUAC
rnacentral:rRNA from 1 species